GAUGAACGCUGGCGGCGUGCCUAAUACAUGCAAGUCGAGCGAACAGACGAGGAGCUUGCUCCUCUGACGUUAGCGGCGGACGGGUGAGUAACACGUGGAUAACCUACCUAUAAGACUGGGAUAACUUCGGGAAACCGGAGCUAAUACCGGAUAAUAUAUUGAACCGCAUGGUUCAAUAGUGAAAGACGGUUUUGCUGUCACUUAUAGAUGGAUCCGCGCCGCAUUAGCUAGUUGGUAAGGUAGCGGCUUACCAAGGCAACGAUGCGUAGCCGACCUGAGAGGGUGAUCGGCCACACUGGAACUGAGACACGGUCCAGACUCCUACGGGAGGCAGCAGUAGGGAAUCUUCCGCAAAGGGCGAAAGCCUGACGGAGCAACGCCGCGUGAGUGAUGAAGGUCUUCGGAUCGUAAAACUCUGUUAUUAGGGAAGAACAAAUGUGUAAGUAACUAUGCACGUCUUGACGGUACCUAAUCAGAAAGCCACGGCUAACUACGUG
rnacentral:rRNA from 1 species